GAAGUUAUAAAUAAUUUAUAUUUUGGAACCACCUUGUUAAUACAUAAAAUUGUCAUGAUGUCUUAUUGCAAAUAAACGAAAACUAGUGAUGUAUACACAAGAAUUUUACAAGUUAUUCCACCAGAAGGGUGGUGUUAAUUAAUGGAAAGACAGAAGAAGAAAAAAAGGUCAUGUGUUUUGUUUACAUUCCUGGUUUGAAGUCACUUCUUCUACAACCACAGUUCGAACUUUGAAUCGACAUAUUUUCCGAGCCAGCGAUUGUAAUGGACCAGAAUGACCACGUGUUCUUGUUGAAUAAACUCUUUUAAAUCUAAUCACUCGUUUCUUUGUUGUUGUUGUUGGAUAUGUUGCACAAUUACAUUGAUCGGACAAUCCCUUUUCUGGAAUAUUAUUGGAGUUGAUGAGAUUGUAUGAUGUUGAAGUUGAUGGUGUAGGUUGUUGAAGAAGACCAAAGUUUGAUUCAAAUUCAGAUGUUCUUCCAUCACUUUGAAAUGUCUGCAUGUUCUGUGAUUGAAUUAAACAAGUUAUUGAUGCUUUCGCUAUGAGAAUAGAAAGAAGAUUGAGUUAGGAGGUGUUGUUGAUUGAUGAAUUAAGCCAAUAGAAUAGAAAUAUUGAUUUUUGAUUUGUUUAGGAUGUGCUCUGUCUUAUCUUGCUAUUUAUAUAUAUAUAGGACAGUGUCCUUAAACGAUGGGGAUGCUUCUUGGAGUGUGUUAUGAAUAUCUUAACCAACCAUGUCAAAGAAAAGGAAGGAAUCAAACAUUUGACCGAUGAUAUUUUGGUAAGGGAGUUAUUG
rnacentral:lncRNA from 1 species